rnacentral:rRNA from 1 species
AUUGAACGCUGGCGGCAGGCCUAACACAUGCAAGUCGAGCGGAUGAAGGGAGCUUGCUCCUGGAUUCAGCGGCGGACGGGUGAGUAAUGCCUAGGAAUCUGCCUGGUAGUGGGGGAUAACGUCCGGAAACGGGCGCUAAUACCGCAUACGUCCUGAGGGAGAAAGUGGGGGAUCUUCGGACCUCACGCUAUCAGAUGAGCCUAGGUCGGAUUAGCUAGUUGGUGGGGUAAAGGCCUACCAAGGCGACGAUCCGUAACUGGUCUGAGAGGAUGCUCAGUCACACUGCAACUGGGACAAGGUCCAGACUCCUACGGGAGGCAGCAGUGGGGAAUAGUGGACCAUGGGCGAAAGCCUGAUCCAGCCAUGCCGCGUGUGUGAAGAAGGUCUUCGGAUUGUAAAGCACUUUAAGUUGGGAGGAAGGGCAGUAAGUUAAUACCUUGCUGUUUUGACGUUACCAACAGAAUAAGCACCGGCUAACUUCGUG